rnacentral:tRNA from 3 species
GGGUCAUUAACUCAGCGGUUCAGAGUGCUACCUUGACAGGGUAGAAGUCACUGGUUCGAUUCCAGUAUGACCCACAA